AAAUUUUUGGCAGUUUUCUACACCAUGUAGUGAGCUUGGGUCACCAAGGGCCUGUAAAUAGCAUCAUAAUGAUUGGUUCCCCAGCAGGGAUAAACAUGUGCUUUGAGUUUUCUAAAUGAUUCAGAGGCAUGCUGUGAGAUAACUACUGAUAACAAGCAGAUGUGAAGUUUGCUUUUCAAGACAGGGAGGCAGAGGGGGAAAGUCAAGUAGAUUGUUGGCUUAUGGUCCUCUUGGAAAGCCUGAUAUUUGAAGAUUAUUAAAGCUCGGAACUCAGUCAUUCCCAAUGAAGAGAUGGAGACUCAAACGCAAAGAGUGGAGAUGUAGCAGAGGAAUGUGGGAAAUGCAGAAGAGUCAGAUGGAGGAAGAGGAGGUAGCAGCAGCUGCAGGGCUCUGCUGGAGGAGGUCAGAAAACAAUGUAAAGAAUCUGGUGUUAAAGGGACUUUAAUCAUGGAGUCAAGAGGUGGCCAACUUAGGGUCCAAAAGUUUAGAAGAAGGAAUGUGGAGAAAGCUCACUGCAGAAACUUCUGAAGAAAGAACGGGGUCCCCAGUGGUAUUUAUGGAAGCACUCCCUUGACAUGGAAGCAGUAAGAGCUAAAGAAAGAUUUGGUCCUGAGAAAAGAAAAGCUGAUUUUGAGCAUUAUUUUUUGUUCUGGAUUAGUGAGCCUUCUUUGCUUUUCAAGUCCUACUAGAUAUUCCAGAAGAUAAUCUCAAAACAUAUAACCAGAGCUCUGGGACAAGGCCUCUACAGCUGACUUCAAAAAGAAGUACCUUAAAUACUUCAGGUGCUGUUCAGUUUUCACUUGUACCAAUUUAGAUCUGGAGUUAGAACAUUGGAGUGAUUAUGGAUUUGCAUUGAUGUGAAAGGGUUGAGAAUUUGGUUCAGAAGAAUCAGUUUGCUAAAAAAGCAGCAAAUCCUAUGGAAAACCUGUGAUUAUUGCUUUGUUUGAUGCAUCUCUGCUGUAGAGUGGCCAGAUGUUUUAAAAUCUACCUGCUGAGGAUCUGGUUUUGCUCCUGUGCUAUUUGGAGAGGACAGGGGGACAGUCUGUAUUUCAAGGUCAAAGAUGUAAUUAAAUAAAAAUACACUUAAAAUUCCUCUAACAAAUGUGUCAGGAUUCUGUAGAUUAGUCGAUGUACAUAUUUUAGGGCUGAAGAUGCUAAAAGCUAA